CCCUUAGAUGUUCUGGGCCGCACGCGUGCUACACUGAGGGGAUCAGCGGGUCAGGUUGCGCGAAAGUGUUUCCUAAUCUUUAAAUCCGCUCGUGAUGGGGAUUGACGGUUGCAAUUUUCCGUCAUGAACGAGGAAUACCUUGUAAGCGCGGGUCAUCGGCUCGCGUUGAUUACGUCCCUGCCCUUUGUACACACCGCCCGUCGCUACUACCGAUUGAAUGGUUUAGUGAGGACUCCUGAUUGGCGCCGCCGCCCCGGCAACGGAGCAGCGGACUGCCGAAAAGUUGUUCAAACUUGAUCAUUUAGAGGAAGUAAAAGUCGUAACA
rnacentral:rRNA from 1 species